GCCCAUAUUUUUCUAUUUAUUGUUUUAUUUAUUCCCUUUAUUCUCUAUUCUACAAUCCCCAUCAUGACCCUCAUAAGGAACAAAGAUGUCAAGCAAAUACUUUUACAAAUUGAUGAACAAUACGAAUGUAAAAUACAUAACUAAAUAGCAUGUGACUUUGUAUGACAACAUAAUCAAAAAUCUGACUCUUCUUUCCAGGUAAGCAGCC
rnacentral:lncRNA from 1 species